rnacentral:rRNA from 1 species
UGGGGAAUUUUCGACAAUGGGGGAAACCCUGAUGCAGCGACGCCGCGUGAUUUAGAAGGCCUUCGGGUUGUAAAAAUCUUUUUUACGGAAUGAAAAUGACAGUACCGUAAGAAUAAGGUCCGGCUAAAUACGUGCCAGCAGCCGCGGUAAUACGUAUGGACCGAGCGUUGUCCGGAAUCAUUGGGCGUAAAGGGUACGUAGGCGGCCGAGUAAGUUAGAAGUGAAAUAAUAUAGCUCAACUAUAUAAAGCUUUUAAAACUGCUAGGCUUGGAGGAUGGAAGGGAAGGUGGAAUUCCUAGUGUAGCGGUGAAAUGCGCAAGUAUUAGAAAGAAUACCGGGGGCGAAGGCGACUUUCUGGUCAUCAUCUGACGCUGAGGUACGAAAGCGUGGGUAGCAAACAGG